GAUUAAAUGACUGAUAAAAAGUAAUAAAUUGUAAAUUUAUAAAUAAGAAACCAUCUUUUUAAUCA
rnacentral:tRNA from 1 species